rnacentral:rRNA from 1 species
GACGAACGCUGGCGGCGUGCUUAACACAUGCAAGUCGAACGGUAAGGCCCUUCGGGGUACACGAGUGGCGAGCGGGUGAGUAACACGUGGGUGAUCUGCCCUGCACUUCGGGAUACGCCUGGGAAACUGGGUCUAAUACCGGAUAGGACGCCUGGCUUCAUGGUUGGGGGUGGAAAGCUUUUGCGGUGUGGGAUGGGCCCGCGGCCUAUCAGCUUGUUGGUGGGGUAAUGGCCUACCAAGGCGACGACGGGUAGCCGGCCUGAGAGGGUGACCGGUCACACUGGGACUGAGAUACGGCCCAGACUCCUACGGGAGGCAGCAGUGGGGAAUAUUGCACAAUGGGCGCAAGCCUGAUGCAGCGACGCCGCGUGAGGGAUGACGGCCUUCGGGUUGUAAACCUCUUUCAGCUAUGACGAAGCGCAAGUGACGGUAGUAGCAGAAGAAGGACCGGCCAACUACGUGCCAGCCGCCGCUGUAA